GACGAACGCUGGCGGCGUGCUAACACAUGCAAGUCGAACGGAAAGGCCCUGCUUUUGUGGGGUGCUCGAGUGGCGAACGGGUGAGUAACACGUGAGUAACCUGCCCUUGACUUUGGGAUAACUUCAGGAAACUGGGGCUAAUACCGGAUAGGAGCUCCUGCUGCAUGGUGGGGGUUGGAAAGUUUCGGCGGUUGGGGAUGGACUCGCGGCUUAUCAGCUUGUUGGUGGGGUGGUGGCUUACCAAGGCGUUGACGGGUAGCCGGCAUGAGAGGGUGACCGGCCGUGACGCGACGGAGACCCGACCACGACCGCCGGUGGAGGGGGCAGUGGUACAGUCGGAGCAGGGGGGGCAGCCCCGAGGCGGUACGCGCCGGGGCUGGAGUACGCCCUUCGGUUGUUACCCCGCGUCCGCCUGUGACGAGGCGUGAGUGACGGUAAGAGGAGACUAAGCACCGGCAAACUACUUGUCCGAAGCCGGGUUAAUAGUCGGACGCGAACACGCUUGAUC
rnacentral:rRNA from 1 species